UGUGUGUGUGUGUGUGUGUGUGUGUGUGUGUGUGUGUGUGUCCAACUUGCACUGUCCCCUCAGUGAUGCUGGCCACCUGCACAGAGAUGAAACUGGUCCCUAGGGUUCCCAGGCCUUGGCAGCUCUUGAUUAAGAGUCCAUCAAGCUUUUAAUGCUGAGAACCUGGCUGAGGAUUCUCUCUCUACCUCUGGUUGGUGAUUAAAUGCUGAUUUGAUUGAUGUACAGAUAAGGGAACUUUCCAGAUUUCCCCCUUCUAAAUGGGUUUCCUUGAAAAGAAAAGCAACUUUGUUCCCUGGUGGUAACAAGAACAUUCUAUUUUAAGAGUUCCGUGUGCUUUCAAAGAUGACAAGACUUGGGAAAUACGAACUGAC
rnacentral:lncRNA from 1 species